rnacentral:rRNA from 1 species
AUUGAACGCUGGCGGCAGGCCUAACACAUGCAAGUCGAACGAGUGGCGGACGGGUGAGUAAUGUCUGGGACACUGCCUGAUGGAGGGGUAUAACUACUGGAAACGGUAUCUAAUCCCGUAUACCCUCGUGUGUGCCCAGAUGGGAUUAGCGAGUAGGUGGGGUAACGGCUCACCUAGGCGAAGAUCCCUAGCUGGUCUGAGAGGAUGACCAGCCACACUGGGACUGAGACACGGCCCAGACUCCUACGGGAGGCAGCAGUGGGGAAUAUUGCACAAUGGGCGCAAGCCUGAUGCAGCCAUGCCGCGUGUAUGAAGAAGGCCUUCGGGUUGUAAAGUACUUUCAGCGGGGAGGCGUUACCCACAGAAGAAGCACCGGCUAACUCCGUGCCAGCAGCCGCGGUAAUAC